rnacentral:rRNA from 1 species
CGUAGGGUGCAAGCGUUAUCCGGAUUUACUGGGCGUAAAGUGUUGCGUAGGCGGAUCCUCGCAUUUUGUUUAAAAGACCAAGGCUCAACCUUGGUUUUGGGCAAAAGAUGGAGGAUCUUGAUGACUAAAGAGGAUACUAGAACUCUACAUGUAGCAGUGAAAUGCGUUGAUAUGUAGAGGAAUACCAAAGGCGUAGGCAGGUAUCUGGGUAGUUCAUGACGCUGAGGCACGACAGCCUGGGGAGCGAAGCAGAUUAGAGACCUGCGUAGCCCAGGCCGUAAACGAUCCUUGCUAGAUGGGAGGUUUUUUCUCCUGUCGUAAGCUAACGCGUUAAGCAAGGCGCCUGGGGAGUACGAGCGCAAGCUUA